rnacentral:rRNA from 1 species
AGUUCGGGAUAGCCACUGGAAACGGUGAUUAAUACCGGAUACUCCUUCUUGUUAUAAGACAAGUCGGGAAAGUUUUUCGCUAAGGGAUCAGUCUAUGUUCCAUCAGCUUGUUGGUGAGGUAAUGGCUCACCAAGGCUAUGACGGAUAUCUGGUUUGAGAGGAUGAUCAGACACACUGGAACUGAGACACGGUCCAGACUCCUACGGGAGGCAGCAGUGAGGAAUAUCGCACAAUGGAGGAAACUCUGAUGCAGCAACGCCGCGUGGAGGAUGACGCAUUUCGGUGUGUAAACUCCUUUUAUUAGGGAAGAUAAUGACGGUACCUAAUGAAUAAGCACCGGCUAACUCCGUGCCAGCAGCCGCGGUAAUACGGAGGGUGCAAGCGUUACUCGGAAUCACUGGGCGUAAAGGGUGCGUAGGCUGGCUUUUAAGUCAGAUGUGAAAUCCAAUGGCUCAACCAUUGAACUGCAUUUGAAACUGAAAGCCUAGAGUUCAGAAGGGGCAGAUGGAAUUAGUGGUGUAGGGGUAAAAUCCGUAGAUAUCACUAGGAAUAUCAAAAGCGGAGGCGAUCUGCUGGGAU